rnacentral:lncRNA from 1 species
CAUUCCUCUUCCCUCUUCAUCUCAGUGCCUGUGUCUCGCAGCGAGGAGCUCCGUGGAGACAUCCUCUGGAGCCCUGGCAGAGUGAUGGGGAUGUUCCUGCUCCCGUUUAUCAGACAGACCAUCACUUCCUGGAUGCCAGGGAUAUAAGGACAAGUUCAACUUGCACCAUCCUUCUCGAUUCCUUUAGCUGGCAUUUAACUUCCAGUUGGAUGCAUCAUGUAAGUAGACACAAAACUGUGCAAGAGACUGCAUACAAAGUCCUUCUUUGAAUUCCUGUGGGCAUUUGAGAUAUAUAAG